UACGUAGGGGCCUAGCGUUGUCCGGAAUUAUUGGGCGUAAAGAGCUCGUAGGCGGUUCGGCAAGUCGGAUGUGAAAUCUCCACGCUUAACGUGGAGGGGCCAUUCGAAACUGCUGUGACUCGAGUCCGGUAGGGGAGUGUGGAAUUCCCGGUGUAGCGGUGAAAUGCGCAGAUAUCGGGAGGAACACCAGUAGCGAAGGCGGCACUCUGGGCCGAUACUGACGCUGAGGAGCGAAAGCGUGGGGAGCGAACAGG
rnacentral:rRNA from 1 species